UGCCGAGCCCUCAAAACGUUGGAACAAAAUCUUUGUUGUAUAGAGUUUUCAUUCCACCAGAAAGACUUUGAAUGAGCUCACAAGUAAAUAGUGUGGUGAGCUGUAAAAUAAUACGCGGUAUGGAAGAAAAUAGAACAGGAUGAAAGAGGGGAGGGGACAUGCUGUAGCUUUUAAAUAGAAAAUUAGAGUAGGCUUCGUUGAAAAGUUACAUUGAGCAAAGAUUUGAAGGCGAUAAUGAGGUAAACUGCAGUUAUCUGCAGAGGGAAGAGAUGCUAAUCUGAGAAAAACUCCAGCAACCAUACAGCUCCAAAGCCCCUAGAAAGCCUGGCAUGUUUGGGAAACACUAAUGGCCAGGGGUCAGAUGAGAAAGGAGAGUAAGGGGGGAAGGGGUUAGGAAUAACACAUUGUGUAGGGUUUUGUAAGGACUUUGGUUUUUAUUAUAUGUGACAUGCAGAUCUCUUGGAGGAUUUGAGAAAAGGAAUAACAUGACCUGACUUAAAUUUUAAAAGCAUCACUCAGACUCCUUUUGAGAACAGACUUUAGGGGAAGGAAAGUAAAAGGAGGGGAGAAAUGGCAGUGUCUUGAACUAGGGUGGUUCUAGUGGAGGUGGUGAGAAGUGAUCAGAUUCUUUUGAAAAUUUUUGAAUUGAAUGAAAGGCAUGAGAGGAAGAGAAGAGUCAAGGAUGAUUCCAAGGCUUUUGAACUGAACGACUGGAAGGAUGGAAUUGCCAUCAGUUGAGCUGGGACUAUUGGCCUGUCUUGCAUUUUGAAUGGAUCUUUUACCCACAGAAACUUGGAGGUUUGCAGUAUAGAGGAAAUGGAGGCAAAGAAGAAGAGAAAAGGCAACAACAGGAGAAAAAGCCAGUAAAGGAAACUGGAGAGAAGAAUGAAAAUUUGAAAGAGAAAGGCAAAGGACAUCCUCUGUGCCCGACAGUAUGAUGAAACACCUGGGUUUGACCCAUCCCUCCACAAUCUGCAUGCACAGGCCACUAUAAAAAUGAAGCACCAGAGUGGAGGUCAGUAGUACUCUACUGAGUUGAGAUAAACUAACAUGGAACCCCAAAGGCCAGGCCGUGGAAUGUCAUCUCUGAACAUC